rnacentral:rRNA from 1 species
UGGCGGACGGGUGAGUAACGCGUGGAUAACCUGCCGUAUACAGGGGGAUAACACUUAGAAAUAGGUGCUAAUACCGCAUAAGCGCACGGUUCCGCAUGGAACAGUGUGAAAAACUCCGGUGGUAUACGAUGGAUCCGCGUCUGAUUAGCCAGUUGGUGGGGUAACGGCCCACCAAAGCGACGAUCAGUAGCCGGCCUGAGAGGGCGGACGGCCACAUUGGGACUGAGACACGGCCCAGACUCCUACGGAAGGCAGCAG